UUCUUUUAGGUUUUAUUGAAGGUAUAACCUGCUCUCUGAUUAUUUUAAGGGCUGCAGUAUUAUGACUGUACAAAGGUAGCAUAAUAAUUAGUUAUUUAAUUGGUAACUGGAAUGAAGGGUUGAAUAAGUGAGUAGCUGUCUUAUAUUAUUUAUUAUUGAAGUUGCAUUAUAAGUAAAAAUGCUUAUAUAUUUUAAUGGGACAAUAAGACCCUAUAGAGUUUUAUGUGAUGAAUUUGUUUGUUUAAGGGCUUAUUAUUUUAUUGGGGUGAUAGGGAAAUUUAAGCUUUCUUUUAAGUUGAUUUUUUUUAGUAAUAAUUUGUGAUCCAUUAUUAAUGAUUAUGAGAGAAACUACCUUAGGGAUAACAGUGUAAUUAAUUCAGACAGUUCUUAUGGAUGAAUUAGUUUGCUA
rnacentral:rRNA from 1 species